CCGACUCCUACGGGAGGCAGCAGUGGGGAAUAUUGCACAAUGGGCGGAAGCCUGAUGCAGCAACGCCGCGUGCGGGAUGACGGCCUUCGGGUUGUAAACCGCUUUCGCCUGUGACGAAGCGUGAGUGACGGUAAUGGGUAAAGAAGCACCGGCUAACUACGUGCCAGCAGCCGCGGUGAUACGUAGGGUGCGAGCGUUGUCCGGAUUUAUUGGGCGUAAAGGGCUCGUAGGUGGUUGAUCGCGUCGGAAGUGUAAUCUUGGGGCUUAACCCUGAGCGUGCUUUCGAUACGGGUUGACUUGAGGAAGGUAGGGGAGAAUGGAAUUCCUGGUGGAGCGGUGGAAUGCGCAGAUAUCAGGAGGAACACCAGUGGCGAAGGCGGUUCUCUGGGCCUUUCCUGACGCUGAGGAGCGAAAGCGUGGGGAGCGAACAGGCUUAGAUACCCUGGUAGUCCACGCUGUAAACGGUGGGUACUAGGUGUGGGGUCCAUUCCACGGGUUCCGUGCCGUAGCUAACGCUUUAAGUACCCCGCCUGGGGAGUACGGCCGCAAGGCUAAAACUCAAAGGAAUUGACGGGGGCCCGCACAAG
rnacentral:rRNA from 1 species